rnacentral:lncRNA from 1 species
UUUUUUAUCAUGAAAUGAGAAGCACUCAUUACAAAAUGGGAUAUUAAUAAUCAGUUAAUGUAAGACAAAAAUAAUAAUAAUAAUAACCAACACAAUGGAAAUAAAAAGAUAAAUGAAAAAAAUCACAUAUAUAUGAGGGAACCGCCGCAUCUAACCACAACUACGCCCUUCUCGUACGAAUCACGACAAGCUGUCUUCAAUGAUCUCGUUUCACACACCUUGCAUAACCAGGGCAAGAUCAUGCCUUGAAGAAGUUUUCAAGUUGAAUAUGGCAGAGUACUUGACUUUCAUUACUCUUAUGCUCCUGUGCAAGGAAAUUGUUGGGCUUCCUUUUGCAGGCUUCUUGGUUUUUCAGGCCCUCACUGGCCUCUGCUUGAGUCUUCAAGCCUCUUUUAUAAAGAUUUGUCUUCCGAACCAGGCACUUGCAGAAGGAAGGAUAUGUCGCAAGGCUUCCGUAAAGGGAAGUGAUAUAGCAGCAACGGCAGAAGUUAAAUAGAGCUUUAACAAAUGAUGGACUGCAUUUGAGGAUGAUGUGAAACAACAUAAAUCUAGGGUGACUGCUCGAGAGUGAGAUUUCUAGUCGAUGCCCAAAAUAAUCAAAUAAUUUGACACCACUUAUCUCUAUAGGUUACCACGGGCAAAUCUUUAAUGUUGUAUCUGUAGCAGCAUCUCAUUCUACUGGCUUGCAUCAAGCAAGAGUAAGACAAGUCAAUACGGUCCACUCAUCUAGUGAACAUCCUCUGUACAAGGUAGUCGAGUCCUGAAAAAGUCUCAUCACCCUUUAGUUGAACAUGAUCAUAAUAAGCACUGGAAACGAGUCUCAUCUAAGCUCACAUGACCCUUCAGCUCCAAGGAAGAGAUAUAAGCACCGAACCAGAGCAGGAUAAAAGCGAUAGACUUUAUUUAAUUCCAGCUUAAACAUUUUGAGUCAUAAAUUCUUGAGAAAAUGGAUCUUGCAACAAUUUAUAAUUAUUUGUGAUUUGAAUUUUUGUGAUCCAGAAUUGAUUACUAUUCUCACAAGGGCAACCGCCAUGGGCAAGCUAAGGUCCUGCCUCCAACACCCAAAAACUCGUUUUCUUCAACCGAUUGAUGGUGGGAAUCGGGGGAUAAUCCAGUCUGGUUGAGUGAGUCGGCACAUACAAAGAACGGAGCAGUCGAGCGAAGAGAGAACCAGCGAAACAAAAGAAAGAGGCAAGGCAUAACUGAGGGUUUCAUUUUUCA